rnacentral:rRNA from 1 species
AGAGUUUGAUCAUGGCUCAGAACGAACGCUGGCGGCGUGGAUAAGACAUGCAAGUCGAGCGGGAUUUUUUUCUGUAGCAAUACAGGAGGAAGUCUAGCGGCGAACGGGUGCGUAACACGUGGGCAAUCUGUCUUAAAGUGGGGGGAUAGCUCGGCGAAAGCCGGAUUAAUACCGCAUGUGAUCAGGGGAGACAUCUCUCCAAAAUCAAAGGUGGCGCAAGCUACCGCUUUUUGAGGCGCCCGCGGCCUAUCAGCUUGUUGGUGAGGUAACGGCUCACCAAGGCGUUGACGGGUAGCUGGUCUGAGAGGACGACCAGCCACACUGGGACUGAGACACGGCCCAGACACCUACGGGUGGCAGCAGUCGAGAAUUUUUCUCAAUGGGGGAAACCCUGAAGGAGCGACGCCGCGUGGAGGAUGAAGGUCUUCGGAUUGUAAACUUCUGUCAUUUGGGAACAAUGGUUACGCGUUAACUGCGCGUGACUUGAUAGUACCAGAAGAGGAAGAGACGGCUAACUCUGUGCCAGCAGCCGCGGUAAUACAGAGGUCUCAAGCGUUGUUCGGAUUCAUUGGGCGUAAAGGGUGUGUAGGUGGCGCCGCAAGUCGGGUGUGAAAUUUUAGAGCUUAACUCUGAAACUGCAUUCGAUACUGCGGUGCUUGAGGACUGGAGAGGAGACUGGAAUUUACGGUGUAGCAGUGAAAUGCGUAGAUAUCGUAAGGAAGACCAGUGGCGAAGGCGGGUCUCUGGACAGUUCCUGACACUGAGACACGAAGGCCAGGGGAGCAAACGGGAUUAGAUACCCCAGUAGUCC